GGUUUAAUUGUUCAGCUGGUAGAGCGUGCGCGUACAAAGCGUAGGCGGGAUCCAUGUGUGGGUUCGAAUCCCACCGAGGCUA
rnacentral:tRNA from 1 species